UACGUAGGGGGCAAGCGUUAUCCGGAAUUACUGGGUGUAAAGGGUGAGUAGGCGGCACUGUAAGUAAGAUGUGAAAGCCUUAGGCUUAACCUGAGGAUUGCAUUAUAAACUGCAGAGCUAGAGUGCAGGAGAGGAAAGCGGAAUUCCUAGUGUAGCGGUGAAAUGCGUAGAUAUUAGGAAGAACACCAGUGGCGAAGGCGGCUUUCUGGACUGAAACUGACGCUGAGGCACGAAAGCGUGGGGAGCGAACA
rnacentral:rRNA from 1 species